rnacentral:rRNA from 1 species
AACGCAUUAAGCACUCCGCCUGGGGAGUACGGCCGCAAGGCUGAAACUCAAAGGAAUUGACGGGGGCCCGCACAAGCGGUGGAGCAUGUGGUUUAAUUCGAAGCAACGCGAAGAACCUUACCAGGUCUUGACAUCCCGCUGACCGCCUAGGAGACUAGGCUUUCCCUUCGGGGACAGCGGUGACAGGUGGUGCAUGGUUGUCGUCAGCUCGUGUCGUGAGAUGUUGGGUUAAGUCCCGCAACGAGCGCAACCCUUGAUCUUAGUUGCCAGCAUUCAGUUGGGCACAUCUAGAGGUGACUCCGGUACAAACACAGCCGGAGAAAGGGGGGAAGAUCAUAUCAUCAUGCCCCCAUGCCCUGGGGGAACACACGUGUUACCAAUUGGACGGUUACAAAAGGGCGUGCAAAACCCGCGAGAGGGGAGCCCAUCCCAUAAAACCUUCUCAGUUCGGAUUGCAGGCUGCAAAAUACGCCUGCAUGAAGCCGGAAUCGCUAGUAAUCGCGGAUCAGCAUGCCGCGGUG